GAGACAGUUCGGUCCCUAUCUGUUGUGGGCGUUAGAAGUUUGAGAAGACCUGACUCUAGUACGAGAGGACCGAGUUGGACAAACCUCUGGUAUACCUGUUGUGACGCCAGUUGCAUCGCAGGGUAGCCACGUUUGGAAGAGAUAAGCACUGAAAGCAUCUAAGUGCGAAGCUCACUUCAAGAUUAGACUUCUGUUUUAAGGGUCGUUAAAGACUAUAACGUUGAUAGGCUGCAGGUGUAAGAGCAGAAAUGUUUUUAGCUGAGCAGUACUAAUUACCCGUAAGCUUUCUAAUUUUUUUAAAUA
rnacentral:rRNA from 1 species